GACGAACGCUGGCGGCGUGCUUAACACAUGCAAGUCGAACGGAAAGGCGCUGCUUUUGUGGGGCGCUCGAGUGGCGAACGGGUGAGUAACACGUGUGUAACCUGCCCUUGACUUUGGGAUAACUUCAGGAAACUGGGGCUAAUACCGGAUAGGAGCUCCUGCUGCAUGGUGGGGGUUGGAAAGUUUCGGCGGUUGGGGAUGGACUCGCUGCUUAUGAGCUUGUUGGUGGGGUAGUUGCGUACCAAGGCUUUGACGGAUAGCCGGCCUGAGAGGGUUACCAGCCACCUUGGGCCUAAGGGACGGACCAGUCGGCUACGGGAGGCAGCAGUGGGGAGUAUUGCGGAAUAGGCGGGCGCCAGUUGUAACGACGCUGCGUGCGUAAUGACGGCCUUCGGGGGGUAAACCGCUUUCGCCUGUGACGAGGCGGGCUUGACGGUAAUGGGUAAGAAAGCACCGGCUAACUACGUG
rnacentral:rRNA from 1 species